ACGUAAUAGAUACCCAGGUAGUCCAUGCCGUAAACGUUGGGCACUAGGUGUGGGGGACAUUCCACGUUUUCCGCGCCGUAGCUAAACGCAUUAAGUGCCCCGCCUGGGGAGUACGGCCGCAAGGCUAAAACUCAAAGGAAUUGACGGGGGCCCGCACAAGCGGCGGAGCAUGCGGAUUAAUUCGAUGCAACGCGAAGAACCUUACCAAGGCUUGACAUGAACCGGACCGGGCUGGAAACAGUCUUUCCCCUUGUGGGCUGGUUUACAGGUGGUGCAUGGUUGUCGUCAGCUCGUGUCGUGAGAUGUUGGGUUAAGUCCCGCAACGAGCGCAACCCUCGUUCUAUGUUGCCAGCACGUGAUGGUGGGGACUCAUAGGAGACUGCCGGGGUCAACUCGGAGGAAGGUGGGGACGACGUCAAAUCAUCAUGCCCCUUAUGUCUUGGGCUUCACGCAUGCUACAAUGGCCGGUACAAAGGGUUGCGAUACUGUGAGGUGGAGCUAAUCCCAAAAAGCCGGUCUCAGUUCGGAUUGGGGUCUGCAACUCGACCCCAU
rnacentral:rRNA from 1 species